rnacentral:rRNA from 1 species
AUGUCUAGCACCUAUCGUAUCCAUGGGUUCCCAAGGUCUAUUGUUUCCGACAGGGAUCCCGUGUUCACCAGCCAUUUUUGGCGCGAGCUGUUCAAAUAUGUUGGCACGGACCUGUGCAUGAGCUCAGCCAACCACACCCAGACAGACGGGCAGACUGAAAGGGUGAACCAGUGUGUCAAAAUCUAUUUACGUUGUUUCAUCCAUGCCUGCCCGAACCGUUGGAACCAUUGGGUCCUGCUGGCGCAAUUCUGGUACAAUUCUUCUUACCACUCUAGCAUCGGCAUGUCCCCGUUCAAGGUGAUGUUCGGCUAUGAACCCAGACAGUGGGGCAUUACAUCCGUGUCUGAGUGUAUGGUACCUGCUCUGCACUCUUGGCUGGAGGAACGGGCGGUGGUGUAGGACCUCCUGCAACAACAUCUGAACCACGCGCAUCAACACAUGAAAAACCAAGCUGACAAGCACAGGUCGCCUCACAUUUUCCAAGUGGGCAACUCGGUGUACCUCAAGCUCCAGCCGUACAUCCAGGCGCCGGUGGCGCGUCGCGCCAACCACAAGCUCUCGUUCAGAUACUAUGGGCCAUUCCAAGUCAUCGCUAAGGUCAACGAUGCAGCUUACAAGAUGGAACUGCCGGCGCACUCCCAAGUGCACCCGGUCUUCCACGUCUCCCAACUCUGGCAAUGCUUGCGUCCGGGUAUGCACUCCUCCCCUAACCUUCCGCAAGCUACUGACAUUCCAGUCGUGCCAGUCGGAGUGCUCCAGCACCGUUGGCGUCGGAAGAAUGGCGCUAUGGCCGAACAAGUGCUGGUCCGUUGGUCUGAUCAAGCAGCUCUUGUAGACACCUGGGAGGAUAAGGUGGCGCUAUAA